rnacentral:hammerhead_ribozyme from 1 species
GUACUGCUGAAGAGUCCCAUACUAGGACGAAACUUCAGUCCAGUGC